CUCUAAAUCUGAGGUAGUCGUCCCUCUGCUGACUUUUACAAGUCUUGUUAAUAAUUUCUUACUGUUGGUGUUUUCUUCAAAAUAUUCGUUGUGGAAAGACCAUGUUGGGACUGUUAGAAGGAGAAGGAGGAGGAUAUUUAAGUUUCAGGUCCCGAUUGAGGAAGUUGAGAACAUGGUGGGACCUACGAUAUUUAUGUACAGCUGACUAGUAGGAAUAUUUCGUUGUUGAGCGAAGAAAGUUCAGCACUUUUUGGUACCAGAUUGGUGUACCAUCAGACGAAGUAUCAUCCUGUCCUCUCGUGUAAGAAAAGCCUGGUUGCACCAACUGGCUCUUCAGGACCUCCUUCCAUUCCAUUGGGUUUGCAUCUAUUGUCCAUCACUCGAUUGGACCAGUUUAAAAUCUAUUAGUGUCUAACGAUUGAGGAAAAAACUCUCCCUCUAUUUCUAAAAAGAAGGUAAGGCCAUAUACCCAACAACGUGGUACGUUGUUCCAGGCACUCGAGAGGCAACUGAAAGACUUCCUAUAAACUAAAAGUAAGGAUUCGUAAUUGACACUGAUAAAAGAGGGAGAGAGAGAAGUUUUAUAAAACGUAAUUCAAUGUAACCUUGGAAAUUACAUAUAUGAAAAUGUAAGAAAGAAACUCGACUGUGAUAAUAAAAUUUGGUAUAAGAAAAAA